AUGCAUGAGUAGAGCAGUGUUUGUUUUGUCCACAAGAUGUCGCUAUGACACUGUUUUGUCUGGGUAUUUUGAUGUUUGUUGUGGUGUUUGAGCCUCUUGGCAUACCGUAGUGCUGAUAAACGCGUAGUGCGCCAUGUUUUCCUCAGUUUGUGUUCUCAACACUGACAGGUGAGACGUGCUCAUGAUAGUAGGAUCCUUAUCUAAAAUACAUCUGUGUUGUUAAUGCUCAAAAGUUCUGUUUACUGAGAUAUUCAGUGUACUAAACUGUUAAAGAGCAAAUGCAGAGUUAUAUAAAAAGCUAAAAGGUUGUUUUAUUUCUGUUAUAAAGUGAUUAAGGGAAUGUACGGCUCAUGCAAAGCCAUUGUGUUGCAAUAUAAGUAGCAGUAGUUUAUAAUAAUGAAUGUUUUGGAGAUAUUGUAUUGAGAUUUAACUGAGUUUGUGUUGUCAACACUGAUAGGUGCCCUUCUGUCGAAUAAAUGGUGGAGUCCUGAUGGAGAACCUCUCUGUCUGCAUCUCCUGUUUACCACAACACAACGCAGAGUAGCAGCAGCGGUGGUGCUAGAGGCCGCAGCCAGCUCGCAGAGACAGCGAGUGGGUUACUCAUGCAUACAUAAAAGCAAUUGCAUUUGAAGUUUUAAAAAGGAGAAAAUCAUCAAGUCGGCAGGGAGGACCCCCUACAGCCACUUUAGACCUUCCGCCAGCGGAGGACAUCGCUGCCUCUACUCUCAGUGCUGAGCAUUGAGGGGUUUGGUGAUUUAGAGGUGGUCGUCCAAGCUCCGCAGGUUGAAGAUUCGGCGGCCGGGCCCAGUAGGCAGGAGCAAGAGGUAGUUCUGCAGGGAGAAGAGACCAUGGAACCACCAUGGUUGAGAGGAGAGGCAAGACCCAGAGCUGGACGCAGAAACGUCGACCAGGAGGACCACCCAUUCCUGGCCCUCCAGCAGGCCGGCUUCAAUAUGCUGGAACGGCAACAGGGUAGGCACCACCAGAACUUGGAGAUGUUGCUGCUGCCGCUCGGACGCUUCGCCGAUAGUGUGGGGAGUCUAGCUGAAGCUGUUCAGCGUAUAAUACCCUUUACAACACCUCCUUCAUCCUCCGGACCUGUUCUCUCUACCAGAUCAGCCACUCUACAGUUCUGCUGUUCCUGGACCCUUGCGUUGCCUGCCACACCGUGGAGCUUCGCGACUGCGAACGCGAGGAGGAAGGUCAAACAUUUAGGUUUAUAAUGUAAAAAAGAACCACACACACACACAUACAAAUGUUCGUGGCAUCACUGCAAUCUAAAUAAAAAUAAAUGAAUAAUAAACUGAGGUUUUUUAUUCUUUAGGUCUACUAAUUUGCAAAAAAAUGCACUAAAAUGCUUUGCUUGUACAGCAGGAAAAAGCUCCUAACAUUUGUACAUUUCCAGAGCAAAAGCGUUUCAGCACCUAGCACAGCGCUGUGUGUGUUUUAAUAAAGAUAUUUCAAUAAAAUGGUUGCCAUCAUAUCCAGAGGUUAAAGGUCAAAUGCCAAAUUUCUACAGUUUAAAAGUAAAACAAUUGAGCUUAUAAGUCUACAGGUGAGGCGGCUCUUCUGCCAGCUGAUCUCUCCUGGCCUGUGCUGCUGCUAAUUAGCAUCGCCACAUGCAGUUCAGCUUCACGCCAUCUAAAAUCCUGUAAUCUAUCCUCAUUUACGUCCAAGAGACAUCCACCUGGAAACCCAAAUUUAGCCCAGAACUCCUGUUUAAGCGUAUUUUGGCUUGCAGGCGUCACAGGGAAUGUAAUGCAUUUGUGCGCAUGUCGGACUAGGCUUGAUGUCACAGCAUGUAUAGCCGAACUUACGGCAGGCCAAUUGAACUGAGGGGAUGUUGAAAAGACCCAUUCUCAAACAAAUGUAGUGCAGCAGUUACUUUUACAGCAACGGGGAGUGCUUAUGGGCAGGAUGCAUUCGUUUCUAAGUCAUCUGCCAGAAGAUGUCAAAGUUUGGUUACUGCCUGGUGAGAUAACCGUAGCCUCUGGUGACACUCCACCUCGGACAGCAACAAAUAUGUGGACCUUGGUCGGUGGACCCUCGGCCUCCUCCGUCUCCCAAUUCUCUGGCCCAUAAGGUACUCCAUUUGGCUAAACAAAAUAAAUGCAUAACUACAUUACUGAUGAAAUACGUUAUUGAUCAAACAGGAACACUGACAAACUGAGGAGAUCAAUAAGAGAUAUUUUGCCCAUUUUAUAUUCAUGUACACAAUAGGCUAAUAAUCUUUUAUUAUUACAUAUUCAUUUUUUAUUUUCAUAUUUAAACAUAACUCGUGCUGCACAUCAUGUGUGUGAAAUAAGCAACAUGUCUUUGUGCAUUGGACCUGCCUAUCACUAACGCGUUUUCUAAACAAUCAGAUACAGUAUAACCUGCGCUGGACUUUACAUCAACUUUCAGUCGAUCUAUGGCGUGGUCUAAUGUAAUUGUUUUAAAAUAGCAACGCACCAGCAAUGCACCUGAACACGCCUCUUUGUUUAGUCCAGAACGCCUGU